GAAUUGCGAAAAGUAAUGUGAAUUGCAGAAUUCCGUGAAUCAUCGAAUCUUUGAACGCAUAUUGCGCUCUCUGGCCCUCCAGAGAGCAUGCCUGUUUGAGCAUCAGUAAAACCUCACAUCCCACUCUGGGGCGUGGAGCUGAGCGCUCCGGUAGCUGGCUAUACCCUUGUGGUAUACAUGCCAUCGGUCGCUUGAAAUGAAGAGUGUGCUGUGCUUGUCACUGCUCUCGGCUAUGGCGUAUUAGUUCUCUUAGAGAUCCACCUGCGUCAGUGUAAACCUUGAGCCUCGCGAUGACUGACGGCCACGUUUCUAUAGAGUUGCUGUAAGGCGACCCUUAACCCACCAAGGUGCACUGCAGUAUGCAGUGCUUCUUGAUCUUGAUCUCAAAUCAGGCAAGGCU
rnacentral:misc_RNA from 1 species